rnacentral:rRNA from 1 species
GACGAACGCUGGCGGCGUGCUUAACACAUGCAAGUCGAACGGUAAGGCCCUUCGGGGUACACGAGUGGCGAACGGGUGAGUAACACGUGGGUGAUCUGCCCUGCACUUCGGGAUAAGCCUGGGAAACUGGGCCUAAUACCGGAUAGGACCACUGCCUGCAUGGGUGGUGGUGGAAAGCUUUUGCGGUGUGGGAUGGGCCCGCGGCCUAUCAGCUUGUUGGUGGGGUGAUGGCCUACCAAGGCGACGACGGGUAGCCGGCCUGAGAGGGUGACCGGCCACACUGGGACUGAGAUACGGCCCAGAGUCCUACGGGAGGCAGCAGUGGGGAAUAUUGCACAAUGGGCGCAAGCCUGAUGCAGCGACGCCGCGUGAGGGAUGACGGCCUUCGGGUUGUAAACCUCUUUCAGCACCGACGAAGCGCAAGUGACGGUAGGUGCAGAAGAAGGACCGGCCAACUACGUGCCAGCAGCCGCAGUAAGAC